rnacentral:rRNA from 1 species
UAGGGAAUCUUCCGCAAUGGACGAAAGUCUGACGGAGCAACGCCGCGUGAGUGAUGAAGGCUUUCGGGUCGUAAAACUCUGUUGUUAGGGAAGAACAAGUACGAGAGUAACUGCUCGUACCUUGACGGUACCUAACCAGAAAGCCACGGCUAACUACGUGC